AAAAUCGGUUGUUUCCCCUUCGCUACUGUAUGUUUCCGGUUUCGGAUUUUAUCAGGGAAGCAUGUGAAGUUUACUUUUGUUUAACUACCUUUUGUUCAACGAUGAAGGGAUCUGAGACUUCUAAAACUGUUUACUGAUUUGAUAAUAUUCCUUGUUCCUUUGAUGGUUCAUUCCACUACAGCUGGUUCAUAUACCCUACAACAGCCAGGAAAUUGGUCUGUUUACUUUAAGAUCUGAAGAAAAUGUAACAUAUUUUGGAUGUGCUUUGAGGAAUCAGGAAGGCAAGUGUUUCCUCUUGUUUAUGAAAGAAACUCAGUUGGUUAAGGGGCAGACAACUUGUGAGCAUGGUACAUCACUACCUGUAUUGGUAUUCCAUUUUGACAAUGCUGCUAGCUAGAAUAGAAAUAACAUCUUGCUGUGGUAUGGUCUGUGGAGAGUUUUACUAGGCAACAACCAUUUUUUAUAGCUGUUAAAACAGUGUAUACUUUUAACCCUUAGGCUGAAUGAGGCAGCUAUGUCUGCCUUUGCAACCAGUGCAGAUCAAGAUCAACCUGCACAUCUGUGCAGUCUGAUCAUGAUCUGCAGUGUUUGAUAUUUAGUCAGCAAAUUUUCUAUGAGAACCCCUUAUAAGCUAUAAAUGGUACUGUCUCUGUUUAAGAUGGAGUAGUCCAUUUUGCAAAUUUAGCAGGUUAAGGGUUAACACAGUAAAUGCAAAAAAUGUGUUUUAGAACAUCCUAUUUGCAGUAAUCAAAAUUUACAAACAAAGUACAUUUUAUAUACUGACAGCACGCUGUUGUCAGUCUGUCAAUAUUUUAGAGCAUUGGUUGUAAGAAUCAUCUAUUAUCAUAUAGUGAUAACUCUGCUUUUAUUAAAUAAAGCGACUCCCAGGUUAAUUUUUUAAAAUAAAAUGUUUUACU